GACGAACGCUGGCGGCGUGCUUAACACAUGCAAGUCGAACGGUGAAGCACCAGCUUGCUGGGGUGGAUGAGUGGCGAACGGGUGAGUAAUACGUGAGUAACCUGCCCUUGACUCUGGGAUAAGCUCGGGAAACUGGGGCUAAUACCGGAUACUACAUGCCACCGCAUGGUGGUGGGUGGAAAGGGUUUGCUGGUUGGGGUUGGGCUCAGGGCUUUUAAGCUGUUGGGUGGGGUGUGGGCUACCCAAGGCGUGGAGGGUUGCCGGGCCGGGGGGGGGACCCGCCACACUUGGACUGAGAAAAGGCCCAGACUCCCACGGGGGGCAAGCGGUGGGAAUAUUGGACAAUGGGCGGGAGCCUUAUGCAGCCACGCCGGGGGGGGGGUGACGGGCUUCGGGUUGUAAACCUCUUUCAGCAGGGAAGAAGCCGCAAGUGACGGUACCUGCAGAAGAAGCGCCGGCUAACUACGUG
rnacentral:rRNA from 1 species